AAAAACACAGACAACAUUUAUUAUUUUGCAUAUAUGUAUACAGUUAAUUGCAUAAUUUGGAAAUAACAUGACCAGUUGACGUGACACAGCUUAAUUAUACUUACAUACUCUCUCCUAACAAAGCUAUAUAUAUAUAUAUAAAAGUAACGCAUCUUUGGUGUGAUCAAAACUUGGUGUAUACAUGUAGAUAUAGUAGAAAGCUCUUUCUUCAUUUAUUUAAAUAUAUAUAAUAUGAUAUAUACAAUAGCUAGCUAGUGCUUCGACUCUCAGUCAGCCCUUAAUGGCCAAAACCCUUCAGUUUGGUAUGAGCUUGAAAGGAGGUUUAACGAGAGCUGGAGCAGGAUCAUAUUUUCCAUAGUCUUUGGUGUUUGCUCGCAGAAGCCUUUCGUGGAUCAUGCUUAAUUCUUCCUGCUUUGAUGGCUUGCUUAAUUCCUACCAAGUAAUAAUUAAGUGACCAUAUUAAAGAUUGAUUUCUGAUUAUGUGUAAUCAUCAUCAGCUACACAAACCUCAUAAAUAGUGGCAUCCACUUGGUUCGCCAGCUUCACAAACUUGGAUCGUCGACCUGCAAAAGAUGGUGAAAGAAAUGCUGUUGAAGCGAGGAGGAAGAGAAGAGAGAACUUGUUUAGAAGCAUGAAAGAACCCAUUAUGUUUCUUCGUGUCUUUAAUUUCUGAGGUCGGCUCUUUCAAGAACAGCCUAAAUAUGAAGCUUCCUACGAUGCAAAAGAACACUACUCGAGUCACCAAUUAGAGAGUUGGCAAAUCUUUGCAGAUAAAAAUGCAAAUAGAUACGAUACUUUACAAAUAAUAUAUUAUAUAGAACUAAGAAAAUGAAAGUUUUGCUUUUUUAGUAUAAUGAAGUAUUCAAAUUAGAAAAAAAGUUGAAAGAAGACCACUUUUCUGUUG
rnacentral:misc_RNA from 1 species